CCUGGCUCACCUUCCUCCUCCAGGGCAGGACCGCUGGACUGGGUCCAGUGGGGAGAGAGAUUCUGGGACACCAGGCUUAAUUGGAAUCGCGCAGCUCUUCAUCCUCAGCUCAGAGAGGCACGGAACACGAAGCCACGCCCCUAUCUCUGCGCCUGCGCACUUGCAACGCGCAAGGACGGUAACCUCAAGACUGUGUCAGCCUGAAUGGAAAUACUAUUUCAGUCACUGAAAGUGACACACUGCCUCAGUGAAUUGGUGAUAGUAGAAGAACCUGACUCACUUCUACAGCUGGAGGGGCUGUGUACUCCGGCCAACAGCAGACUGACCUUCUGCCUAGUCUCCUUUUCUCCUCCUUGCACCCCAAUGGACUGGGGCAGUUUGCAGCAGUAUCCUUCUUGGCUAUCAAGCCCCAUCCUCUACUAUAACAGGAGGGCAGCCAGAGAGCCUGCUGCCCCUUCUCCACUGAUUUAUACAUAAACUGUGCGUAAAACAAACACUAGACGUAUAGAUACAUGAUUCAUGUUAGCAAAGGAUUAGUGAACAAGGGUACACAGGAAUAUUCAUACAAAUAUACAUGGAAAUAUCACUACUACACAAUAACACAUUCACACCUGAGUUGAAAUAUGAAUUUAAAACCUUGCCAUCUUAAACUAAAGAAUAUUUCUUGUAACAUAUGAUGAGUAAUUUCUAGAAUACUAAAAGACUAAUAUGAGAGAAAUUCUUAAAUGCUUAAGGGGAUUGAAGAAUUGAAUCUAUAACUAAAAUUGUGUUAAAAUUCCUAACAGUGUUGAAAAAUUCAAGGAGAAAAAAAUGAAAGGGGAUAACAUAAUCAAAAUUUAACACAGAUAACAAGAUUGGUUGUAGAAUCCAUGGGACAAAAAUCUAGAAUAAAAUUCCAAUUGAAAGAUGUAAUAGUUACAAGUGUAAGAUUGUUAAAAAACUAAUAGUCCUUUAUUAUAUUAAAUCCCAAACUAUCAAAUGUAAGACUGAAAAAGAAUGCAGAAUUGCCUCAGACACUAGAUAUAUCUUAGUAAAAGAGUGUAUUUUCAAUUUAAGAAAGCUUUUUUUCUUUCAGAAUGUGUUUUACUUUGAACCCAGGGAAAAUAUUUCCCUGUGGUCUUAACAAAAUAAUGUAGCACUUGGGGGCAAAGAUGCAGCCCAGAAGCCCUGCACCAGAAGCCAAGAUGGAGAAGACCUCCAUGGCCACUAUCACUUUCCCCUUGCUGCUGUGGUACACAGGGAGGAAUGUGACCCACACAGCAGAACACCAGCAUGCUGAAUGUCAGGAACUUGGCUUCAUUGAAUGUGUCAGGCAGGUUUCUGCCCAGGAAAACCACAGUGAAGCUGACCAGGGCCAAGGAGCCCAGGUAUCCCAGGGCACAGUAGAAGGCAGUAAGGGAGCCCUUGUUGCAGAUGUUGAUGAUGUGGCCAUGCUCAAUGUGUGUGUCUGUGUCAAUGUAGGGUGGGUUUGUCCCCAUCCAGACUCCACAGAGAGUGAUUUGGAUCAGAGGGAAAAUGGGGAUGAUGUAGUUUGGUGCCCCUGAUACCAGCAACUGCCUCAUCCUUCUACCUUGAACAGUCACCUUAAAGGCCAGCACCAAAGUAAUGGUUUUGGCCAACAGCCACAGUGAAGACAACUGCAAAUGUGGUCUGCUGGAGGAUGCAUGUGGCUGUGUUGGGACAGCCAAUGAAGAGCAAGGCACAGAGGAAACAAAAGGUGAGGGAGAUGAGCAGGGUGUAGCUGAGAGUCCUGUUGCUGGCCUUGACAAUGGGAGUGUCUCUGUGUUUCACAAAGAGCCCAAGGACAGCAGCCGUGAGGACAGUUAGACUGAGGGCAGUGCCAACCAGAGCUUUUCCCAAAAGAUCUUCGUAACCAAAAAAAAAAAAAAAAAAAAAAAAAAAAAAAAAAAAAGAUCUUCGUAACCCAGAAAAGUCACAGCUUUUUACAGGCAGUGGUUUUUCUGAAUGUUGGAAUAUUUAUGGUUAGAACACUUCACACUCUGCUCCAUAUCUACUAAAAAUGAAAACAGUCAUUUGCCUAAGCAUAUUAUUUGCCUUUUUCCCCAAUAAGAUCAUCCCUAGAACUUACAAGACUUCAAUUAAAUUGUCAACUUUUAAAUUUUUUUCUUUGGGAUUGAACUCAAAAACUUUGCCCUGAGUUAUAUUCCUAAUCCUUUUUAAUUUUAUUAUUUUGAGAAAGGAUCUCUUUAAUUCACUCUGUUGCCAAUUCUGUCUUCCCACAGAAAAUCCUCUUGCCUCAGUUAGCCAGAGCCAUAGAUUCCAGGCAUGCAUCAUCACACCUCACUUUUGCCUUUGUUUCUACACACAGAAUAAAAUAACAGGAUAUAGAGAGUAACUCUUUUUUUUUUUUUUUUUUUUUUUUGUCUUUUUCAUUUUUAUUGGUACCGGGGAUCGAACUCACGACUGCCUGCCUGCAAGGUAGGUGCUUAUGCCGCUGAGGUAAAUCCCCAGCCCCUAGAGAGUAACUCUUAUGUAAUACUGCUUGUUAUUUUUCUUUUAAAUUCUGGCAUAUGCAUGAAAACUUUCUAUUUUUGCAAAGUAAUAAAUGAUGUGCCUUUAUUACUUCUCUUACUUUACUUAUUUCAUCUGUAUCAAAACUUCAUAAAUUAUUUCCCAGAUAUUCAGUGAACAAUCUCAUAUUAGGAAGCCAACAUGGUUGCUAAGUUCCUGGGAAAUACUUAAGAAGAAACCCUGAAAGAGAAAUUGUUCCAUUAUUGAGCCUCUCCAUCUAUGAACGUGCUUUCUGCAGCUACCGAUUUAAUUUUUAUUGUCAAAGGAUUAUUUCAAUAAUUUAACUUUGGUGUCUUUCAAAAACAUUACAGGAUAUAUCACUAUAUAUUUAAUGAUUUUUAAAUGUUAUAAAAAUCAAUUUUCAAAAUUUUUUAUAAGCACCUUAUGACUGAGGUAUGGAAAAAGGUUUCAUUUUUUGAGAUAAUCUUGUAUUCCAUAAAUAAGAAAUUCAAUAUCAUUUUAUUUAUUUACAUGAAUUUCAUACUUAAAACUGUUGUCACUGGAAAAUUUUUUCAUGUGUUUUCUUUAUUGCAUUGCCUAUGGUGUAGAGUGUGGCAUUAGUAUGAUAGCAAAAGUUGUUAUCUCAUUGUUUCUUUCGAAAAUGAAGCACAAACUGUAAAGUGUGCUAUAGGAUAACAUAAACAUCAAUAUUGGGAGGCCAGUUACAGACAUUCUCCUAUAGCUUAUUUGGUAAUAAAUAAUCUUGUAGUUUUUAAAUCACAGUGAUGUCCACUUUGUUAUAGUAUCACCAUUUAGUAGCAUCAUUUUUAUUUUAUAAGGAGCUAGUGCAUUUAACCAUGUUUUAUAAACUGAGUUUGCUCAUGGUAUGCCAUUCCUAAAAUAUAUACCUCAAUUUGGAAUAGGACAUGUGAAUUUAGUUUAAAAAGGAAGGUAGACCGUGAACUUUGUUCCUUCUAAUUGUGCUUUCAGCUAUGAGAAACACAACUUACGUCCUGAAAAAAUGACUUGAUUUUCCUCUUUUCCUCUGCUGUAAAAGAAUGAGGUUAACAUUAAUAUGAUUUCGAGGGGCUGGGGAUUUAGCUCAGUGGCAUAAGAACCUGCCUUGCAAGCAGGCGGUUGUGAGUUCGAUCCCCGGUACCAAUAAAAAAAAAAUGAAAUAAGUAUGAUUUUGAAUGUUCAUGCAUUUCACUGCUAAUAUUAUUAACCAACAAAUAUUUGGAGUGAAAUGUUAUACUAUAUGCUCCUAUAUGUUAUGAGACACGGUAAUAUGGAGAUACUACUGCUAUAGAGAUUUAAUUUUUUUCUUAGUACUGUUUUGCUGCUUUCCUGUGAUUUUAUAGCUUUCAAGGAAUAGGGUGAUUUGAAUUUACUUUUAUUUUCAUAACAAUUUUUCCAUAUAACAGUAUUAAUUGAGAAAAUUCUCUUAUGUGAGCUUUAAAUUUUUCUCUUUUUUUCAUGAGUAGUACUCAGAGUUGUCACUUUUUGUUACCAGAAUCACAUUUAACUCUGCUCAUUUUCUCUCUGUCUUAAUUUUUUAAAUAUUACUUUCAGAUUGUAUCCCAACUUUCACUUCUUCAUGUUUAAUUUAUUCUUUUUUCUAGUGUGUAAUAAAUAUUUCUUUUUCUUAA